rnacentral:rRNA from 1 species
AUUGAACGCUGGCGGCAGGCCUAACACAUGCAAGUCGAACGAGUGGCGGACGGGUGAGUAAUGUCUGGGAAACUGCCUGAUGGAGGGGGAUAACUACUGGGAACGGUAGCUACUACCGCCUACCAUCGGAUGUGCCCGGUGGGGCUUAGCUGGUUGGUGGGGUAAAGGCUCACCAAGGCGCCGAUCCCUCGCUGGUCUGAGAGGAUGACCAGCCACACUGGAACUGAGACACGGUCCAGACUCCUACGGGAGGCAGCAGUGGGGAAUAUUGCACAAUGGGCGCAAGCCUGAUGCAGCCAGGCCGCGUGUAUGAAGAAGGCCUUCGGGUUGUAAAGUACUUUCAGCGUGGAGGCGUUACCCGCAGAAGAAGCACCGGCUAACUCCGUGCCAGCAGCCGCGGUAAUAC